rnacentral:rRNA from 1 species
CCUACGGGUGGCAGCAGUGAGGAAUAUUGGUCAAUGGCCGGAAGCCUGAACCAGCCAAGUCGCGUGAAGGACGAAGGUCCCACGGAUUGUAAACUUCUUUUGUCCAGGGAUAACAUCAGGCACGUGUGCCUGUCUGCAGGUACUUUAAGAAUAAGGAUCGGCUAACUCCGUGCCAGCAGCCGCGGUAAUACGGAGGAUCCGAGCGUUAUCCGGAUUUAUUGGGUUUAAAGGGUGCGUAGGCGGGCUGUUAAGUCAGCGGUAAAAUCGCGGGGCUCAACCCCGGCGAGCAGUUGAAACUGGCCGUCUUGAGUUGACGAGAGGUAGGCGGAAUGCGCGGUGUAGCGGUGAAAUGCUUAGAUAUCACGAAGAACUCCGAUUGCGAAGGCAGCAUACCGGCGUGCAUCUGACGCUGAGGCUCGAAAGUGUGGGUAUCGAACAGGAUUAGAUACCCCUGUAGUC